GGGGCUGAUUCUGGAUUCGACGGGAUUUGCGAAACCCAAGGUGCAUGCCGAGGGGCGGUUGGCCUCGUAAAAAGCCGCAAAAAAAUAGUCGCAAACGACGAAACCUACGCUUUAGCAGCUUAAUAACCUGCUUAGAGCCCUCUCUCCCUAGCCUCCGCUCUUAGGACGGGGAUCAAGAGAGGUCAAACCCAAAAGAGAUCGCGCGGAUGCCCUGCCUGGGGUUGAAGCGUUAAAACGAAUCAGGCUAGUCUGGUAGUGGCGUGUCCGUCCGCAGGUUCCAGGCGAAUGUAAAGACUGACUAAGCAUGUAGUACCGAGGAUGUAGGAAUUUCGGACGCGGGUUCAACUCCCGCCAGCUCCACCA
rnacentral:tmRNA from 1 species